rnacentral:tRNA from 1 species
AAGCCCCGGAGCCCUAUAGGGCUCAUCUUCAAACUUGCAUUUUGAUGUGAUUACACCCCGAGGCUUGUCUGGG